rnacentral:rRNA from 1 species
UGGGGAAUAUUGGACAAUGGGCGCAAGCCUGAUCCAGCCAUGCCGCGUGAGUGAUGAAGGCCCUAGGGUUGUAAAGCUCUUUCACCGGUGAAGAUAAUGACGGUAACCGGAGAAGAAGCCCCGGCUAACUUCGUGCCAGCAGCCGCGGUAAUACGAAGGGGGCUAGCGUUGUUCGGAUUUACUGGGCGUAAAGCGGACGUAGGCGGACUAUUAAGUCAGGGGUGAAAUCCCGGGGCUCAACCCCGGAACUGCCUUUGAUACUGGUAGUAUUGAGUUCGAGAGAGGUGAGUGGAAUUCCGAGUGUAGAGGUGAAAUUCGUAGAAAUUCGGAGGAACACCAGUGGAGAAGACGGCUCACUGGCUGGUUACUGACGCUGAGGUGCGAAAGCGUGGGGAGCAAACAGG